AAGUUUUUUUUAAAGAGCUUGAGAUUUGAGACUAGACCUGGAUGAAGGAGAAUGAGAUGGAAAUUUGGGGAAGAAGAGUGCUCCAAGAGGGGAAGUCAUAAGUGCAAAGGUCCUAAGGCAGAAAUGAGAGUAACAUGUUUGAGAACUGCAGGGCCAGAAGGGCUAAAGCAAAAUGAAAUGUCACCACCCACAUGUCCACCAAAAUCUAGCCUUGAUAUAUCAACGCCACAGUUUGAAAUACACAUACUGCAGUCUUAAGUUCAAGCUCAAAGUAAAUCGUAAACAAAUAAUCAGGAAGUACCCCAAGAAGUAACUCUGAGACUGGGACAAAUGCAGAGACAUGGAAGCCAAGAGUUUCCAGAGUGGAAUCAACGAUAACAGGAACCAAGAACAUAUGAGCCUAUGUUUAGCAAAUGGGGAAGGUUGUAUACAUUCAGCUGAGUCUUAAAGAGUAAGACUAAAAGUCAUCAGUGAAUGGCUAAACUGUAGGGCAGAAGUGAAACAGUGUAUAGAGAAAGCAGGUAGUCACAGAAAGGGGAAAGAAUUAGUCAAGAGAGGAAGACCACAGAGGUAAAGUGCCACUUUCAUCACAUAACAACAUUGACAUUGAUCACCAGGCUGAGGUAGUGUUUGUCAGGCUUCUCCCCUCUAAAGUUACCCUCUUUCCUCACAAUUUCCAUACUGUGCUCUUUAAAGGAAGUAACUAUGCAUAGCUCAUACCAAACAGUAGAAGUUGAUACCCACCUCUUCCUUGAAGGUUGAGAAUUUAAAUAAAUUAUUUGGAAUUAUUCUGUACUUGAUAUUUGUCCAUUUCCUUCAUUUAAUUAUUUAUGCAAUCAUUUAUUUAUGUUAAUAUGGGCUCAUAAAUACUUUAUACUUUGGGUUAUAAUCCAAUAUUUUUCUAUUGAUUUUAUUGUUUAAAUUUCUCUAGCUUUGACCAUUGAGAACUCUUUAAGUUGGCUUCUGUGUCCCUUUGCCAUAUCCCCAUCAGAGUGAGGUAUUUUUCCAGGUACUUUCGUACUUUCUGGCAAUACCACAUUUUUAAGGCUCAUCCUAUAUAUUUCAUUUGACAAUCCUAGGAGCUACCAUUUUUACAAGAAGCACUGUACUGUUAAUGGUGAAUGGUAUGACAAACCAAUAUCUGGGUCAUAGGUGUGCUCAUUGCUACUGUGGUGUCAUUGCUUCCAGUAGUAUAUUUACAUAUUUAUAAAAUUUAUAUAUGUAGCCAUAUGUAUCUAUAUUAAGCUAAAUAUCAGUUAGCACUGAUGUCUCCUACUCUAAUUUAUUACCAUGUGGAGCAUUUGACUCUCCUCUCCUUAUGUAUUUAUAACUUCCCCUCAACAUCUAGAAAUCUGAUUCCUACCAUCCACUGAAUUGUCCAAUUUCAGGAUACAUGUGCAUUGGCAACAGAAUUAUUAACCCAUAUAUUCAUGAAAAUCAACUCUAUCCACCACAGUAUGGUGUCUAUGUACACUCUCUUUUGUCUUUAGUCUUACAGACUCUACUCCACUCAAAGAGUGGACUCCACUUAUAUCCAAAGUUAUUGAGUUCAGCACCUUUUCCUCCACCCUGCUCAGUGAAGUUGUUUCAUAGAUUUGUAAUUUAGGUAAAUUAUUUUGUCACGUGCUGCAUUCCAUCUCGGGCUCUCCCAAACUCCUAAAUGAUUUUUUAAAAUUUUCACACACUAAUGUUUGUUCUACAGUAAAUUUCUGUGGGAUUUAAUAUACGCAUAGUUUAUGUUUCCACAAUUAUAGUAUUAAACAGAAAAAUUCUACUGCCCUAAAAAAUUUCCCUGUGUAUCACUUGUUCAACCUGCCUUUUUUCCCUCUAAACCCCUGGCAAACAUUGAUAUUUUUAUCAUAACUAUAGUGUUGCCUUUUCCAGAAUAUCAUAUAAUUGGAAUUAUACAGUAUGUAGUCUUUUCAUUGUUUUCUUUCACUUAGAAAUAUGCUUAGGAAUAGGUUUUACUUAGAGAUAGAAAUUUCAGUUAGAAAUAUAUUUAUACCUGCCUUUUUAUAACUUGAUAGAUUAUUUAUUUCUGUCACUAAAUAAUAUUCCCUGGUAUAGAUAUGCCACCAUCUGUUUGGCUAUUCACCUAUUAAAAGACAUCUUGGUUGCUUCUAUAUUUUUCUAACUUCAUAAUCAUAAAGCUGCUGCUAUAAACAUUCAUGCGAUGGUUUUUAUCUGGAAAAAAAUUUUCAAAUCAUUUGGGUAAAUAUCUAGAAACAAUGAAGGCUGAAUCAUAUGGUAAAACUGUGCUUAACUUUAUAAGCAACUGCUAAACUGCUUCUAAAGUAGCUAUACCAUUUGCAUUCCUACCAGCAAUAUAUGAGAAUUCCUGUUGCUCCACAUCCUUAGCAGUAAUUAGUAUUGUCAGAUUUUUGGAUUUUUGCCCUUCUAAAGCAAUAUGCAUUAGGUAUAUUGUCUUUCUGUUAGUAAUUUCUUGUUUAAUGUCAUUGUGGUAUGAGAACAUACGUGUUUUGACAUCUAGCCUUUUAAAUUUGUUAAGAUGUUUCUUAUGGCCCAGAAUGUGGUCAGCCUUGGUGAAUAUUCCAUUUGAGCUUGAGAAAAAUCUGUAUUCUUCCGUGAUUGGUUGAGGUAUUCUAUAAAUGUCAUUUUGUUCAAGUAGAGUGAUAGUCCUGAUCUAGUCAACUACAUCCUUGCUGGUUUUCUUCUUUCCUAAUCUCUCAAUCACUGAGAGGGGUGAGGGGUGUGUUCAGCCUCCAGCAAAAAUAGUGAAUUUGUCAAAUUUUUUUUUUAGUUUUAUCAGUUUUUGCCUCAUAUAUUCUGACACUCUGUUGUCAGGUACAUACACAUUUGGCUUUAUUAUGUCUUUUUUGGACAAUUGACUCAUUUAUCUAUGUAAUGCUCUUCUUCAAUCCUGAUAAAUUAUCUUGCUCUGAAGUCUGCUUUGUCUGAAGUUAAUGUGACUACUUCAGCUUUCUUUAGUUUACUUUUAGCAUAAUAUAUCUUUCUCUAUCCUUUCACUUUUUAAAAAAUUUCAACAGUUUUUUAAUGAAAUUCAUAUACCAUGCACUUUUUCCACUUAAAAUAUAAAAUUGAGUUUUAGUACAUUCCUCUUUAGCUAUUACUCCCAUCCCCUCAUCAUCCCCAUUCUUAAGCAACCACUAAUCUACUUUCUGCUUUUUAUUGUGUCUUUUAACUUUUUGUCAAGAGUCAGACAUGCACUGGUUAAUAGGAAGAGUAGUAAAUAGGCAUUUAGUGAAGUAAUUUGUUUAAUCUAGCUAGAAGUUGCUCUUGUGUCAUUGCUUUUGUCUCCUUCUUUUACUUUGGGCUUCCCUAAAUACUCUUCCUCAGAGAGGCUGCCUUUUACAGCUGUUUCAGCUUUAACCCACUGUUCUUAUUUGGAAUGGUAUUGGUGUGAUGGUAAGGUGAUUGCAUGUGUGGUGGGGCAGGGGGUAUUCUAAAGUAUUAUAAUUAAACGUCUGCAUCUUAGUUGGCCUGUCUCUGGAUGGUAACCUUCAAAUGUGCCACUCCAGUGUAGAUUUUCCCCCUCUUUCCCUUACUCCUUUCCCUAGUUAAAAGUAUUUCAAAUCUGUUUUCUUCAGCCUGUGACCCCUGUCGACUAUGUGUUUUUGUUCCCUCUUAGGUGAGAUAGGAAUAUUAGAGGAGGCUGGAAUAAGAAGAAAGCCCUUUGGAGCCGGAUAAGUCUCUCAAAAAGCAUUUUCCCCUGGAUAGUAAGACUUCGUUAUGGAGAAUGCUCUAGAUGCAUUGCACAAUGAUUGUUCUUCCUCUGCCUUGCCAGGGCCUGAAGGGGAUCUUUCUUAGAUCUUCAUCCCAGGAACCUGGUGGGUCUCAUGGAAGUAAAAACUCAUGAAAAUAUGAGGUUUCCUCAAGACUGGUCUUCAGGAGGUUCUUCUUUUCACAAAUUGUACAUACUCAGCUUCCAGAAAUAUUUCAACAUUACCAACUGAGUUUCUUCUAGUUUAUAACUAACAUGGUUUCUCCUGGUUUCUCCUCCAAGUAUGCAAACCUUAGCUGUCAUUCUUGAUUUACCCGUCUUUCCAAAUUUCAGAAGGGUGGUUUGUCCUGCAACCUCAGUUCUCUAAUUGGUCCAAGAAAGGUCCCUGGCUUAUUUUUCUCAGCUUUGUUGUUGUUGUUGUAAACAUGAGGGUAACAACUACCAUCUCUUUACCCGUGAAAGCUAAAACUGGAAGUCUAUUUACUUAUCUAUUUUUACAUUAAUAGACUUUAUUUUUAUUUUGGUAAAACACACAUAAUACAAAGCUUACCAGCUUCAAGAUUUUUUAAGUAUACAGUUUAUUAGUGUUAAGUACAUUGACAUUGUUGUGUAAUCAACAUCCAGAAAUUUUAUCUUUUCUGUAGUUAUUUUUAAUUUUAAAAAAUUUUUUAUUGAUGCAUAAUUUUACUGAUACGUAAUAGUUGUACGUAUUUAUGGGGUGCAUGUGACAUUUUGAUACAUGCAUAUGAUGUGUAAUGAUCAAAUCUGAGUAAUUGGGAUAGCCAUCUCCUUAAACAUUUAUCAUGUCUUUUUGUUGAAAACAUUUCAAAUCUUCUCUUCUAGCUAUUUGUGCAAAAUAAAAAUUCUACACCUGUUAAACAACUCCCCAUUCCUCCCCUUCCUCCUGCCCUUGGCAACCACCAGUUUACUUUCUGUCUGUAUAAAUCUGAUUACUUAUACUUUAUGUUAGUGGAAUCUUACAGUAUUUGUCUCUUUGUCACUAGCUUAAUUUACUUAGCAUGAUGUCCUUAAUGUUCAUUCAUGUUGUAGCAUGUUUCAGAAUUUCUUUCCUUUUCAAGACUGAACAACAUUUUAUUGUAUAUAUGUACCACAUUUUGUUUAUCCAUUCAUCCACUGUUGGACCUUUGGGUAGCUUUUACUUUGUGGAUACUGUGAAUUUGCUAAAAUAAACUUAAGUGUACAAAUGUCACUUUUUUGUUUUUGUUUUUGCUUUUUGAGACAGGGUCUUGUUCUGUCACCCAGGCUGGAGUGCAAUGGCAUGAUCUUGGUUUCACCAUAUUGGCCAGGCUGGUCUCGAACUCCUGACCUCGUGAUCCUCCCUCCUCAGCCUCCCAAAGUGCUGGCAUUACAGGCGUGAGCCACCGCGCCCGGCCUACAAAUGUCACUUUAAAACCCUGCUUUCAAUGAUUUUGAGUAUAUACCCAGAAGUGAAGCUGCUUGAUUAUGAAGUAAUUUUAUUUUUAAUGUUUUGAGGAACCACCAUACUGUCUUCUGUAGCAGCUGUCUGACUUUAUAUUCUCUACAAUAAUAAAGGUUAAAAUUGCUCUCCAUCCUUAUCAACACUUACUGUCCUUAUUUUUAUUACAGUAGUCAUCCUAAUUGGUGUAAGAUGGUUUUGAUUUGCAUUUAUCUAAUGAUUAGUGACGUUGAGCAUCUUCUUUUGCCUUUGUUGGCUAUUUAUAUAACUAGUUUGUAGAAAUAUCUAUGCAAGUUCUUUGUCCUUUAAUAAAAAACAGGUUAUUUGUUUUGUUAUUAAUAGACUGUAGUUUUACGGUGGUUUUAAAUUUAAAAAAUUUUUUAAAUGAGCAUAAUCAGAAAGUGCAGAGUUCUCAUAUUCUAGCCUUACAGUGUCAUACAGAAUAGU
rnacentral:lncRNA from 10 species